AGUGCAAAGGAAAAUCUUAACAUGGAUCGUUUCGCUGGAGUUGAGAACAUGCUUUUUUCCCCCUGUCACCUUAUUAAAAUCAAAAAUUAAAAAAAAAUUCUCUAAAUCCUGGGAGUUUGAUCGGCAUCUGCCCCUGAUUUUAAUCCAAAGGAGCUGCUUUUGGAACUGGCGUGUCCGGCUUUGGUGUUUGCCUGCUGAGGAAGAGGCCCACUCUUUUCUCCAGUCUUGGUAUGAGGAUUUCUCUCUCUCCAAGUAAUUCCUUAGCAUACCCUUGAAUGGCAUCUACCACACGAGAUAACUUUUUGAACCCACAAGGCUGAAACAACUUCCCUUAACUGAAAUGACCCCAGCACAGCUAUUCACUAGAAGACAUCCUCCUUGAUUUCGUGGGGGGCCCGUAAGAUGACUGAAGUUGUAGAACAGCAAAGACUUGGAACAGACAUUGAGGUCCUAUUGCUCCUGUCGGAAACUUCUGUUGACUGCAGUGUGAGUUGGAUGGGACCCAGAGAAACCAAAUACAGACAAGUAAUGAUGAGUUGGCCAUACAAGCAAGGAAAAUCACAGAUAACAGGAAUGUUUCAGCUACCUGCAGCCUCAUCCGAUGAUGCUUAAUGAACUCAGCUAGCUCGAUCUUCUGUGCACCAGGGAUUUCUUUAAAUGGUAAACUGUAGGGAUUUCUUUAAAUGGGUAAACUGUAUAGAACAUUGUUUUCAAGUUUAACGUACUUGGAAUUAACCUUAUAAAAUAAUGGCAUCUCUAAAGACAGGUUAUAUACAUAGCACAGACACGUAUGUGUGCAUUUAUAUGUGCAUGUCCAUGUAUACAUGUAUAUAUAUACAUAAGUGCACACAUAUGUAUAGAAAUGCUGAUGUUAUUCACCUUUUUGAAAUCUUUACAGCUAGUAUUAACAUGAAUGUGCUGUUAAAUUUGGCAGUGUUAUACAUUUUUGUUGGAGUUUACUUCUGUAAGAUAAAAUCAUAAAGAUAAGCUGUGAAACUCGUGCAGCUGAUGACAUAAUUCUAGAAUCUCGUGAUGCUGAAUCUCAUAUUUCUAUGAGUGUGGGAUGGAUGUUCCUUGUUGAAAUAAUUGUACUGCCUAUUGAAAUAUAUGUUUCCUUGUUUUUAUGUGGGCACUGAGAUGUCCAAACUAUUAAACAUAUAUGGUACAAUGA